rnacentral:rRNA from 1 species
GACAGCAGCAGCCGCGGUAAUACAGAGGGUGCGAGCGUUAAUCGGAUUUACUGGGCGUAAAGCGUGCGUAGGCGGCUUUUUAAGUCGGAUGUGAAAUCCCUGAGCUUAACUUAGGAAUUGCAUUCGAUACUGGGAAGCUAGAGUAUGGGAGAGGAUGGUAGAAUUCCAGGUGUAGCGGUGAAAUGCGUAGAGAUCUGGAGGAAUACCGAUGGCGAAGGCAGCCAUCUGGCCUAAUACUGACGCUGAGGUACGAAAGCAUGGGGAGCAAACAGGAUUAGAUACCCCCGUAGUCCCUGUCUCUUAUAC